rnacentral:rRNA from 1 species
CGUAAUAGGGUGACUGCGGAGGAUCAUUAUCGAGUUUUGAAGUGGGCUGCUUGAGCUGGCACGCAGGUGCUCGGCGGCUCCGCUCUCAUCCACUCAAACCCCUGUGCACCUUGAACGAGUGUGGGUCGAGGCCGAAAGGCCGGUAGGCCCGCCUCGUUUCUUACAAACUCUUGUAUUGUCUUGUAGAAUGCAUUGCCUCUCUGUGGGCGAAAUAGUUAAUACAACUUUCAACAACGGAUCUCUUGGCUCUCGCAUCGAUGAAGAACGCAGCGAAAUGCGAUAAGUAAUGUGAAUUGCAGAAUUCAGUGAAUCAUCGAAUCUUUGAACGCACCUUGCGCUCCUUGGUAUUCCGAGGAGCAUGCCUGUUUGAGUGUCAUGUUCUUCUCAAUCCCUUUGGUUUUUGUGACCGCUGGGCUUGGAUGUGGAGGUUUGCUGGCUUCGCGGUCGGCUCCUCUUGAAUGCAUUAGCUGGGCUUUCGCUCGAUGCAAUGGUGUAAUACUUUUCUUCACCAGUGCAACUUGCGAUGGGGCCUGCUUCUAAUCGUCGCAAGACAACCAUAAGGACCUCGUCCUUUGACACCUUUGACCUCAAAUCAGGUAGGACUACCCGCUGAACUUAAGCAUAUCAAAAAGGGGGAAGAAAAAU